CUGGUUUGGAUUCUGUUGUCUAUCUCAGGAUUUACUUACUCGGGCUGAAGAUCUUUUUCCCUAUAGCAUGUAUUGCUUUCACUGUAAUGGUGCCGGUUAAUUGGACUAACUCGACGUUGGAUCAGUUAAAGAAUCUUACUUUCAGCGAUAUUGAUAAGCUCUCUAUAUCGAACAUACCAACUGGAUCAUCCAGGUUUUGGGUGCAUUUGUGUAUGGCUUAUUUCAUUACCUUUUGGACAUGCUUUGUCCUACAACGAGAGUACAAGA